CCUANGGGGGGCAGCAGUGGGGAAUUUUGCGCAAUGGACGAAAGUCUGACGCAGCAACGCCGCGUGGAGGAUGAAGGCCUUCGGGUCGUAAACUCCUGUCAGUAGGGACGAAUGUCUCGAAAGAGAUUUGACUGUACCUGCUGAGGAAGCCACGGCUAACUCCGUGCCAGCAGCCGCGGUAAUACGGAGGUGGCAAGCGUUGUUCGGAAUUAUUGGGCGUAAAGGGCGCGUAGGCGGCUUGGCAAGUCAGAUGUGAAAGCCCCGAGCUUAACUCGGGAAUUGCAUCUGAAACUGCUUGGCUUGAGUCCUGGAGGGGGUAGUGGAAUUCCCAGUGUAGCGGUGAAAUGCGUAGAUAUUGGGAGGAACACCUGCGGCGAAGGCGGCUACCUGGACAGUGACUGACGCUGAGGCGCGAAAGCUAGGGGAGCGAACGGGAUUAGAUACCCUANUANUC
rnacentral:rRNA from 1 species